AUUGAACGCUGGCGGCAGGCCUAACACAUGCAAGUCGAACGAGUGGAGGAAGGGUGAGUAAUGGCUGGGAAACUGCCCGAUGGAGGGGGAUAACUACUGGAAACGGUAGAUAAUAACGCAUACCAUAGGAGGGGCACAGAUGGGCUGAGCUAGUAGGUGGGGUAACGGCUUACCUAGGCGAAGAUCCAUAGCUGGUCUGAGAGGAUGACCAGCCACACUGGAACUGAGACACGGUCCAGACUCCUACGGGAGGCAGCAGUGGGGAAUAUUGCACAAUGGGCGCAAGCCUGAUGCAGCCAUGCCGCGUGUAUGAAGAAGGCCUUCGGGUUGUAAAGUACUUUCCGCGAGGAGGCGUUACUCGCAGAAGAAGCAUCGGCUAACUCCGUGCCAGCCGCCGCGGUAAUAC
rnacentral:rRNA from 1 species